rnacentral:rRNA from 1 species
AGACGUCUACAUUAGAUACCCGCGUAGUCCCAGCCGUAAACUAUGCGCGUUAGGUGUAUCGGUGACCACGAGUCACCGAGGUGCCGAAGGGAAACCGUGAAACGUGCCGCCUGGGAAGUACGGUCGCAAGGCUGAAACUUAAAGGAAUUGGCGGGGAGCACCACAACGGGUGGAGCCUGCGGUUUAAUUGGACUCAACGCCGGGAAGCUCACCGGAUAGGACAGCAGAAUGAUUGCCGGGCUGAAGACUCUGCAUGACUAGCUG